CAUCAUCGACUGUUCCACAGAGAUGGACAAAGGAGGGGUUUUUUUCGGGAAGAGGAAAGGAUCACCACGGUGCUCACCAUCUCCACCAUCAUCACUGGAGUGAACGCCUCAAUGCCUCGGGUCUCCUACAUCAAAGCUGUGGACAUUUACCUGUGGGUCAGCUUUGUCUUUGUGUUUCUGUCCGUGAUCGAGUACGCAGCUGUCAACUACCUGUCUACAGUGCAAGAACGUAAAGAGAGGAAACUGCGAGAGAAGCUUCCAUGUACAUGUGGCCUAGCCCACCCUGAUGAGAUGAUGAUGAGCAGCAGCUAUAGUGAUAUGGAUGUCAACACCACA